GCUACCUCCCCUACAAACGGAUAAUGGUUUGACCGACUGGCUUCAAAUUGCUUCAGCGACCACGGCUCGUGCGUUGCAUGGGGAGUCUAGAAGAACCUCAGAAACUGGGCCUAAGGAAACCCAAAGGAGGUGGAGUCUAGAAGAACCUCAGAAACUGGGCCCAAGGAAACCCAAAGGAGGGGGAGUCUAGAAGAACCUCAGAAACUGGGCCCAAGGAAACCCAAAGGAGGUU